AAAUAAAAUAGAAGUUUAUGAGAUUUGUAAAUUAUUCCAUUCCUUUUUUACUCACAAUUUCUACAGUGUCCCAACUUUUUUGGAAUCGGGUUUGUAUAUGUGUAGGUGUAUAUGUAUACAAAUCUGCAGAUUUAUUGUACACUAGUCAACAUUUGAAGAGUUUUGGGUAUUGGUUUUAAGACAACUAUUAUGAAAGGUUUUGAUCCUCUUAAAAUUUUGACUAGUGUAGUUUGAUGGUACAAAUCAAACUGUGAUGGCACGGGGCCUCAAAACAUUGAUUUUGGAAAUUGCAUACAUUGUGAUCCAUACAUGUGCCACUGUGGUGAUUACCUGGUGCAUGAAUGGCCAAAACGUCUCCAGUUGAGUCCGCAGCUUAUGCCAGCGGAGAGUGAAGACUGUUGUGCAUUGUUCAGAGCAACUACAGGGCCACAGUGCAGCAAAUCACCAGCAACAUGUUACAUGUGCCCAUUUCAUGCUAGUGAUUUGUUGCACUGUGGUCCUGUGGUCCCUGUGAAAAAUGCACAACCGUCUCCCCUCUGACAAUAAUGCACUGCGGACAUAAAACAAGUCUGUGCACCACUUUAAAUGCAUACUAUAUAUAGUGGCACAUGAACAACCCACAAAGCCCCAUGCCAUCUCUGUUUGUCCGUUAUUAAACUUCAAUAAAUCUGCAGCUUGGGAAUAGGCAAUUUUGCCAAAAAAUUACAGCUGCAUGAAAAGUGUUCAUCCUGUAACCUGUGGACAUUGGCUUAUCUUCUAGGUGACAGUAGCUGUGAAACUUCGUUUUAUGACCAUGACUGGCAUUAUAGUUUUGAUGUUCCAUGACAAAAAAUGCCAGCAAGUUUUAUGGGAAAGUUGCAAAAUGGCGGAAGGCCAAGUUGCUCUGAGAGAAGAAAGUCGGUCCGCAUUGUUGCUUCUGAGAUCCUGGAAGUCAGCAAAUGUCCAGCAAAAAAAACAUGUAUCAGAAAUAGCCCGACAAAUGGUGAUUGCAUACCCAAAGUCUUUCAGAGAUGAGAUUAAUUCCCAGGUUGUAGGAAGUGGAUAUGAUUCUCUCCUCAAACAACUGGUGUGUAGAAUUGACAAUUUGAAAAGAGCAAAAGCUAUUAGUAUACCACUUUGUGGUACUCUAGAAGUAUCAACAAAGAAACAAAAAUUGUUAUAUGGUUGUAUAAAUUCUGAUCCACAACUGCUAGUUGGAGAAACAUCUGAAUUGCAGCAGGAAAAGAAAGAGAAGUUGGUAGUAAUGUUUCAAAAUAAUGAAAGUGAUGUAAAGACAAUCUAUGACUUAAUGACUUCUACAUACACCCCUCAAAGAAACAGCAUCCAAUCUGGAAAGGAAACCAAAGAUUUACUUGAUGAGUGGCCAUAUCUUUUUCAGCCAGCAGGAAUGAAAGCACACUUUAAAGAGCUCACUGGCAUUGACAUAAACAACAGCUUUGAAGAAUCUGCUUCCAGUAAGUUCAGAAGAAUAUUGGACUACUUUCAAUUUCAGUGCACAGAAAGAUGUUGCUGCUAACCCAUUUCAAAAAUGACCAAGACCACUUUCUUGUGAUGGUAGAAGACACCUCAGUUCCAAGUGAUAUAUGCUCAGAACAGCUUCCAGCAACACCAUGUAUAGUAGUGUGUGGUGGGUAUUAUUUAGGAGAGAACCCACUGACAGCCAGUGUGUACAUGGUAGCAGUAGACCAGAUGAUUGUAAAUGACCAUCUCUUGAGUUUUACAGAAGCCCUGUAUCUGACGUUCUCUCUUUACUAUAUAUUGAACAUCAGUUACCCUGUAGAACUGGGAGCCACACUAGAAUUCUUGCAAAGGUGCAUCUUUAGGAUAAAUCCUCAUAAAGGUACCAAGGUGGAAAAGAGAGAGAAAAAGAGAGCGUACUCUGUCAACCCCAGAGUAUUGAGUCUGACAUCAAAAAUUGCUGCAUUUGAUUGGGGAGAGUAACAGAUGUGGUCUUUCAGAAGAUUGACAUUUCGCUGAAGAACAGGACAGACCGACUUUUUGUACUUCAGUUCAGCGCUUUGUUGCUUAAAUCAUUUUUAUUACCUUGUGACGUGAUUAGGAUUUAGUUUAUAUUUAUUUAUUUGAUUGGGACAGUGCAUGUUAAUGAACAAACAUGGAAUACAUGCAUGUAAACAUGCUGGAUUGUAGCCAAAGGCUAAUUUCCAUCCGUAGUCCCACGGCUAAAAUCACACGGGUCACAAAACAUUACAUAAUAAAAUUUACAUCUACAGUUAGUACAUCGUUUAUCAAUAAAUUAGCUAAAGCCCCGUAUACAAUAUUCACCUAAUACUUGAAAAUUCAUUCAACUUCAAAAUUAUCAGAAUCCAGGCCCAGUGUUUUUGUUUCUUUUAAACUGAACACAUUUGUGUUCUGAAACAUGCUUUAUCCAUUUUCUCCAUGUGACAUGUUCAGGAUUAUCAGAAUUAAUGUCGAUUUAUUUUUUUUUUAAUUGAACAAAUUUGUUUUCUAAAACAUGACUUUUGCUGGGAAGUGUUUUUCCAUUGUUUGAUCUUGAAGGUUUGCUAUAUAAUAAAAAGCUGAAGUUGUUUACAGCAAUACUCUGGCUACCAUAAUUUAUUGUAUAACAUUUUACAAAAAUUUGUGUUUCAAGAGUAUUUUUAAUUAGUUUUUAGCAUUACUUCUGUCACACAGUAUACAAAGAUGUCCCUCUACAUUUGGUUUAAAUAAAUAAAUUCACUAGAAAAAGAUUAUGGCAUGAAAACAUGUAAGCCCAGAUUUGCUAACUAUUUGUGGCAGUGCACACUUUCUGAAUGUGUCAGGGUUUUCAGAAGACAUGAUAGAAAGGCAUAUACAGUGAUUAUUGCAUCUUUAUUGGAUAUGCAUUUGUAGGAAAUUUCCUUUAUGAAAGCGUCCCUUAACCCUUUUUGUGCCUGACCUGCCAGUAAUGGUUGCUAAUUGCACUUAUUUUUUAUUUGGUCAUUAUGGAAGGGAGCUGCUGCAAUUCUGUUCUUGCACAUUGAUAGUUUACUCGUAGAAAACAUUCAAAUUCAUCCUGAAGUUAGUUGUAUUUUCUCUGCCAAAAACAAUAUUAGCACAUUUUAAGUUAAGAUGCUUGCUAUUUACCUUUAAUGUGAUAAAACUGAAAAUCUGUCUUGUACUCUCGGGUUGUAUAACUUUCUUUGUGGUUAGCAGAACAAAUUAUUUUAUUUUGACUAAUGUACACCGAGGAAGUUUAAGAACCACUGGCUUAUAGAUUUGGCUUUUUUGUGAUUAAAACAAAGCCAUUUAUUUGCAAUGAAAAUUUAGAAAAUGUUUGAAAAGUGGAAAUAAAGUGCUUUAUUAAGAGAAGAGUGUUUAUUAAAAAUAAAGUAUUUAUUGGGUAGGCUUAGGGGUCGGUGUAUAA